rnacentral:rRNA from 1 species
UACAGAGGGGGCAAGCGUUGUUCGGAAUUACUGGGCGUAAAGGGCGCGUAGGCGGCCUGCUAAGUCGAACGUGAAAUCCCCGAGCUCAACUCGGGAACUGCGUCCGAUACUGACAGGCUUGAAUCCGGGAGAGGGAUGCGGAAUUCCAGGUGUAGCGGUGAAAUGCGUAGAUAUCUGGAGGAACACCUGCGGCGAAGGCGGGUUGCUGGGCCGACACUGACGCUGAGGCGCGAAAGCUAGGGGAGCGAACGGG